AACGCAUCUUGCGCUCCUUGGUAUUCCAUGGAGCAUGCCUGUUUGAGUGUCACGUAAACCCUCACACCAGUGAUGUUAAAGUCUCUGGAGGUGGAAUUGGACUGUGCCGUAGUUGGCUCGUCCUGAAAUACAUUAGCCUGCGCUUUGUUAGCGUGCUCGGCAUGGUGUGAUAAUUAUCUGCGCCGUCGCCUUAUGCCGCUUCUUUAAUGUGCUGCUUCUAAUCGUCCCUCGCGGACAGACACUAUAAAGCUUUGGCCUCAAAUCAGGUAGGACUACCCGCUGAACUUAA
rnacentral:misc_RNA from 1 species